rnacentral:rRNA from 1 species
GAGACGGAUCUCUUUGAGGCCCGUUAUCGGAAUGAGAACAAUUCAAAUCCUUUAACGAGGAUCUAGCGGAGGGCAAGUCUGGUGCCAGCAGCCGCGGUAAUUCCAGCUCCGCAGGUGUAUAUCUAUGCUGCUGCGGUUAAAAAGCUCGUAGUUGGAUCUGCGUGCUCGGAACCGGUUGGCUCACUGAGUUCAAACUGGUCUCCGGCGCUUUAUUUGCUGGUUUUCCCUUGAUGCUCUUAACCGGGUGUCUUGGGUGGCUAGCGCGUUUACUUUGAAAAAAUUAGAGUGCUCAAUACAGGCGCAAAGCCUUGAAUACUGGUGCAUGGAAUAAUGGAAUAGGACCUUGGUUCUAUUUUGUUGGUUUUCGGAACACGAGGUAAUGAUUAAGAGGGACAGACGGGGGCAUUCGUAUUGCGACGUUAGAGGUGAAAUUCUUGGAUCGUYGCAAGACGGACGACUGCSAAAGCWUUUGCCAA